rnacentral:lncRNA from 1 species
UAAAAACACUACCCCAAGUUUUCAAUUCCUAGACUAAAAAGAAAAGGAGCCGCCGGCUCCCCUCCCCUCCCCGACGUUCUGACUUGAAUAGUGACAAGCAACACCUAUUUUCUCAAUUGAAAAGUAACACAUAUACACAUAGCCACAUAGACGAGAGAAUAGAGGCUCCGAAUGGUUGCAGCAGGUGAAAUUCGGCCUGCUUGAGGUUCGAGUUUUCUCCUCUUCGGUCGGUUCGAGGUUCUCGUUCACGGCUCCUGGUCACUGAAAGUUGCCUCCUUUAAGUUCUAAAUUCAAUUUGAGUUUAUUCAAACUCUCUUGUACAACUAGUUUCGGAUCUGGGUUUGAUUCUUAACUGAUUUUCCUUGCAAAUAGGUACACGUGAUAAAUACCCUCUUAUAAUUAUGCCUCUUUGAAAGUGAUAAUGGAUUUUAUUUUAGUAAUCUCUGUCUAAUUUGCUUCCAAUGGUAGUCUUAAAAUAUGAUUGUUUGAAUUGAUUUUUUUUCUUUUAUUUUUCUUUUUUUGAAAAUGAAUUGGGCAUGCUGAUUUCAUU